GUUUAUGUCUUGCAGCUAGUUUAUGUCUGGCAGCUAGUUUAUGUCUGGCAGCUAGGUUAUGUCUGGCAGCUAGGUUAUGUCUGGCAGCUAGGUUAUGUCUGGCAGCUAGACUACGUCUGGUAGCUAGGCUAUGUCUGGCAGCUUGCAGCUUGGUUAUGUCUGGCAGCUUGGCUAUGUCUGGCUUGGUCUGGCAGCUAGGUUAUGUCUGGCAGCUUGGUUAAGUCUGGCAGCUAGGUUAUGUCUUGUAGCUUGUUUAAGUCUGUCAUCUAGGUUAUGUCUGACAGCUUGGUAAUGUCUGGGUAGGUCUGUCAGCUUGGUUGUGUCUGGCAGCUUGGUUCUGUCUGGCUAGUUCUGGC
rnacentral:lncRNA from 1 species